GUGUUAUUUUGCUUUUUCAAGUGUGAUGUAUUGAUUUCACAUGUUGGUCCUUUUUAGGUAAUUCUAGGUUUUUUUAACUACAAAUUUAUGUUCUUUUUUAGUUUUAUUUCUUUCUUGAUCUUGUAUUCAAGCAAAAUUGAUGUACUGCACCUUCAGGUACAGAAAUUGUUGCAAUAUGAGCAGCACCUCAAAGCGCUGUAGGUGCUACAACAUGUAUGAUAUUGAAAUUCAAACAAUAUUUGUGCAAUUUGGAUAGUUGUCACUUAUCAGGUUAUGAUUUUUGGAACCAAUUAUAAGCUGUUCAUUGUUUGGCAACAUAUAUGAGAAUUAUUCCCAUAAACACAGGCCCAUAAAUGCAGGUCCAAUUAGGCUCAAGCCAAUGUACCAAACUGAAAUAUUUGGUU
rnacentral:misc_RNA from 1 species